rnacentral:rRNA from 1 species
AGUCGAGCGGGGUUUUCGGACCUAGCGGCGGACGGGUGAGUAAUGCGUAGGAAGCUACCCGAUAGAGGGGGAUACCAGUUGGAAACGACUGUUAAUACCGCAUAAUGUCUACGGACCAAAGUGUGGGACCUUCGGGCCACAUGCUAUCGGAUGCGCCUACGUGGGAUUAGCUAGUUGGUGAGGUAAUGGCUCACCAAGGCGACGAUCUCUAGCUGGUUUGAGAGGAUGAUCAGCCACACUGGAACUGAGACACGGUCCAGACUCCUACGGGAGGCAGCAGUGGGGAAUAUUGGACAAUGGGCGCAAGCCUGAUCCAGCCAUGCCGCGUGUGUGAAGAAGGCCUUCGGGUUGUAAAGCACUUUCAGCGAGGAGGAAGAGUUGUGUGUUAAUAGUACACAGCUUUGACGUUACUCGCAGAAGAAGCACCGGCUAACUCUGUGCCAGCAGCCGCGGUAAUACAGAGGGUGCAAGCGUUAAUCGGAAUUACUGGGCGUAAAGCGCACGUAGGCGGUUUUUUAAGUCAGAUGUGAAAGCCCCGGGCUCAACCUGGGAAUUGCAUUUGAAACUGGAAAACUAGAGUGUGUGAGAGGGGGGUAGAAUUCCAAGUGUAGCGGUGAAAUGCGUAGAGAUUUGGAGGAAUACCAGUGGCGAAGGCGGCCCCCUGGCACAACACUGACGCUCAGGUGC